UACGUAGGCAGCGAGCGUUGUUCGGAAUUACUGGGCGUAAAGAGUGUGUAGGCGGUGCUCUAAGUUCGGUGUGAAAUCUCCUGGCUCAACUGGGAGGGUGCGCCGGAAACUGGAGUGCUUGAGCGUGGGAGAGGAAAGCGGAAUUCCUGGUGUAGCGGUGAAAUGCGUAGAUAUCAGGAGGAACACCUGUGGUGUAGACAGCUUUCUGGACCAUUGCUGACGCUGAGACACGAAAGCGUGGGUAGCAAGCAGG
rnacentral:rRNA from 1 species